GGCCCCGCACAAGCGGUGGAGCAUGUGGUUUAAUUCGAUGCAACGCGAAGAACCUUACCAGGGUUUGACAUCCUGCGAAUCCCUUGGAAACGAGGGAGUGCCUUCGGGAGCGCAGUGACAGGUGGUGCAUGGCUGUCGUCAGCUCGUGUCGUGAGAUGUUGGGUUAAGUCCCGCAACGAGCGCAACCCACGUCGUUAGUUGCCAGCAUUCAGUUGGGCACUCUAGCGAGACCGCCCGGUGAUAAAACCCGGAGGAAGGUGUGGAUGACGUCAAGUCAUCAUGCCCCUUACAUCCUGGGCUACACACGUACUACAAUGCUACGGACAAAGGGCAGCAAACUCGCGAGAGCUAGCAAA
rnacentral:rRNA from 1 species